GACGAACGCUGGCGGCGUGCUUAACACAUGCAAGUCGAACGGAAAGGCCCUGCUUGCAGGGUACUCGAGUGGCGAACGGGUGAGUAACACGUGGGUGAUCUGCCCUGCACUUCGGGAUAAGCUUGGGAAACUGGGUCUAAUACCGGAUAGGAGCCAUCUUUAGUGUGGUGGUUGGAAAGUUUUUUCGGUGUAGGGUGAGCUCGCGGCCUAUCAGCUUGUUGGUGGGGUAAUGGCCUACCAAGGCGGCGACGGGUAGCCGGCCUGAGAGGGUGUACGGCCACAUUGGGACUGAGAUACGGCCCAGACUCCUACGGGAGGCAGCAGUGGGGAAUAUUGCACAAUGGGCGCAAGCCUGAUGCAGCGACGCCGCGUGGGGGAUGAAGGCCUUCGGGUUGUAAACUCCUUUCGCUAGGGACGAAGCUUUGUUGUGACGGUACCUAGAGAAGAAGCACCGGCUAACUACGUG
rnacentral:rRNA from 1 species